rnacentral:rRNA from 1 species
UACGUAGGUGGCGAGCGUUGUCCGGAUUUACUGGGCGUAAAGAGCGCGCAGGCGGUCGUACAAGUCGCGUGUGAAAGCCCCCGGCUCAACUGGGGAGGGUCACGCGAUACUGUUCGACUCGAAGGCAGGAGAGGGAAGCGGAAUUCCCGGUGUAGUGGUGAAAUGCGUAGAUAUCGGGAGGAACACCAGUGGCGAAGGCGGCUUCCUGGCCUGUUCUUGACGCUGAGGCGCGAAAGCUAGGGUACGCAAACGGGG